UACAGCCAUAUCUCGUUGAAACACCGAUUUUCAUACGAUAACCCAAGUUAAGCAACUUCGUGUCUGGUUAGUAUCUAUAUGGGUGACCGCUUGGAAAUACCAGGUGCUGUAAG